CCUACGGGAGGCAGCAGUGGGGAAUAUUGGACAAUGGGCGAAAGCCUGAUCCAGCAAUGCCGCGUGAGUGAUGAAGGCCUUAGGGUUGUAAAGCUCUUUUACCCGGGAUGAUAAUGACAGUACCGGGAGAAUAAGCACCGGCUAACUCCGUGCCAGCAGCCGCGGUAAU
rnacentral:rRNA from 1 species